rnacentral:rRNA from 1 species
UACGGGGGGGCAAGCGUUGUUCGGAAUUACUGGGCGUAAAGGGUCUGUAGGUGGCCAACUAAGUCAGACGUGAAAUCCCACAGCUUAACUGGGGAACUGCGUCUGAGACUGGAUGGCUCGAGUGCAGGAGAGGAAUGCGGAAUUCCAGGUGUAGCGGUGAAAUGCGUAGAUAUCUGGAGGAACACCGGUGGCGAAGGCGGCAUUCUGGACUGCAACUGACACUGAAAGACGAAAGCCAGGGGAGCAAACGGG